UUUGGCCUAAUAUGUAAAUGACCUUGCUAACAUUUACUUUAUUGUGAAACUGGUUCAGGAAGUGUUUAUGUACUUUUAGAGCUUUAAUAUAGCUAAAGCUUUUAUGUUGAAAGGGUUCAGAACAGCGAGGUGUUGGAAACCGAUUGCAAUUGCUGAAAAAACAUAUGCUGCAACAGUGCGAAGCCCAUGUGCAAAGUAAGGUGUGCUACACGGACAAUAAAAAGGGGAAAACGUUAAAAUUAAGUUUUAAAACAAGCUGCCUACGGUUCUUUAGCACCUGGUUGAUGAGGGAACAAGCUCUUACGGUGUGUUUACAUACACGGCUGCUCAAUAAAAUUGUGAACCAUCAGUUUGAGAGACCAUCUUA